GUUAGGAAUAUUGGACAAUGGGCGCAAGCCUGAUCCAGCCAUGCCGCGUGAGUGAUGAAGGCCUUCGGGUUGUAAAGCUCUUUAGUCCACGAAUAUAAUGACUGUAGUGGAAGAAUAAGCCCCGGCUAACUUCGUGCCAGCAGCCGCGGUAAUACGAAGGGGGCGAGCGUUAUUCGGAAUCACUGGGCGUAAAGCGUGCGUAGGCUGUUUUGUAAGUCAGAAGUGAAAGCCCAGGGCUUAACCCUGGAAUUGCUUUUGAAACUACAAGACUCGAAUUCGGGAGAGGAUAGCGGAAUUGUCAGUGUAGCAGUGAAAUGCGUAGAUAUUGACAGGAACACCAGUGGCGCAAGCGGCUAUCUGGACCGAUAUUGACGCUGAGGCACGAAAGCGUGGGGAGCAAACAGGAUUAGAUACCCCUGUAGUCC
rnacentral:rRNA from 1 species